rnacentral:lncRNA from 1 species
UCCUCUAAAUCAACCUCGCUCUCAGACAAUGAAGGAAGACAUACUUCGUCAACUCAUCCUCCAACUCACAGACUGAAUAGGCAGCCAGAACCUCCAUGUCGUUGUCCCUAAGAAGCGUACAUGUCAGAAGUUGAUCUCAAGCAACCUUCCAAAGAAAUAAUCUGACUCUAGGAUAGACAACCACUCUCUAGAUCCAAGCGGUCUCGAUCCUCCUAUCUAGCACUUAUUUGCUCAUCUCGAUGAGAUCCCUCACAGAAACCUUAAUGCAAUAUGAUCGGCUCCACACCCUCAAGUCCUAGCUCUAAUGGAGUGGAAUCGAGAUAGCAAGAAUCCUAUCAAUGAGCUGAUCGUCAAAGAGACAGAUGACAUCCUGCACCCUCUGGCCCCCAUCAUCAACAGUAGUCAAGUCACAAACCCACA